rnacentral:lncRNA from 1 species
AUUGAGUUCUGUUUCCUUAUUACCAUUUUAUGUGAAUUGUGCUGCUAACUGGAGGUUCAUUUCUUGGAAGUGGAAUCUCAGGCAGUGAGUUCUAAGGGUGCUUCGGAGAAAACGAGGCAAGGGGCAUACCUGGAAAGCAUCCGAGAACCAGACUCCUUGAAGAAGAGGCUCUCCUGAUGGCUGCCCAGAUGAGGAAGGACAUAGAGUUUUAACCCACAAAUACCCAGAAAUUGUCUGUGGUGUGAGAUAACUAUUUAGGGGGAGACUCUUGCAAAUGAUCUCAAAGAAUACUUGAUGUUUUGCUGGUCUCGGUCCCAUUAUCCCCAAGAAUACUUUGAUCAAAGUCACAUCGAGAGUAAUUAGACAAGCCUGGAUGGACCUUGAUUUUCUAAGCCUACAUUUAGGGGAUUUUUUCACUAUUCUUUUCUGCAUAUUAAUUGACAGAUUCAACAAUGAAAGUGCUCAACAACAGGAAUGUUGGAAAAUUCUUUAUUUCAUUGAAUACUGUUGUAAGGAUUAGCUCUUUGCUACAAACCAGGAGCAGGAAAUUCUACAAACCAGGAAAUCCUUCAAAGCAGAAAGAUUUUGGAACUCUAAAAAGAGCCAGACAGUUUUUCUUCUCUGGAGGAGAGAGGCAAUUGAUGGAGCUGAUCUUUGGAGACUGAGAUCUUUCUUCAAUCAAGUCAUCUUAAGGAAGUGGUAGAGAGAGUGGUUAAUAUUACAUUGGUGCAUGGUGGAUGUGUUAAACCAUCACUCUCUUUCUGAUCCUGUGUUGUCCUGUAUGCUGCUGAUCUCUACUGGGACUUCUGACAGAUCCAAGAGGCCAACAGUUGUGAGACUUCCUUUGGCCUUGUUCCUAUUCAUACAAGCCCUCCCCUAAUCUUAAAUAUUAAUUAAGGAAUUAAUUAGAAUAAUAUAA